ACGCACGCUGGCGGCGUGCUUAACACAUGCCAGUCGCACGAUGAACCCGGAGCUUGCUCUGGGGGAUUAGUGGCGAACGGGUGAGUAACACGUGAGUAACCUGCCCUGGACUCUGGGAUAAGCGUUGGAAACGACGUCUAAUACCGGAUAGGACCUUGGAUCGCAUGAUCUGGGGUGGAAAGUUUUUUCGGUCUGGGAUGGACUCGCGGCCUAUCAGCUUGUUGGUGAGGUAAUGGCUCACCAAGGCGUCGACGGGUAGCCGGCCUGAGAGGGUGACCGGCCACACUGGGACUGAGACACGGCCCAGACUCCUACGGGAGGCAGCAGUGGGGAAUAUUGCACAAUGGGCGAAAGCCUGAUGCAGCAACGCCGCGUGCGGGAUGACGGCCUUCGGGUUGUAAACCGCUUUUAGUAGGGAAGAAGGGCUUCGGCUUGACGGUACCUGCAGAAAAAGAACCGGCUAACUACGUG
rnacentral:rRNA from 1 species